CUCCUGGGAAACGGGUGGUAAUGCCGGAUGCUCCAGUUGAUCGCAUGGUCUUCUGGGAAAGCUUUCGCGGUAUGGGAUGGGGUCGCGUCCUAUCAGCUUGACGGCGGGGUAACGGCCCACCGUGGCUUCGACGGGUAGCCGGCCUGAGAGGGCGACCGGCCACAUUGGGACUGAGAUACGGCCCAGACUCCUACGGGAGGCAGCAGUGGGGAAUAUUGCACAAUGGGCGCAAGCCUGAUGCAGCGACGCCGCGUGAGGGAUGGAGGCCUUCGGGUUGUAAACCUCUUUUAUCGGGGAGCAAGCGAGAGUGAGUUUACCCGUUGAAUAAGCACCGGCUAACUACGUGCCAGCAGCCGCGGUAAUACGUAGGGUGCAAGCGUUAUCCGGAAUUAUUGGGCGUAAAGGGCUCGUAGGCGGUUCGUCGCGUCCGGUGUGAAAGUCCAUCGCUUAACGGUGGAUCCGCGCCGGGUACGGGCGGGCUUGAGUGCGGUAGGGGAGACUGGAAUUCCCGGUGUAACGGUGGAAUGUGUAGAUA
rnacentral:rRNA from 1 species